rnacentral:tRNA from 2 species
AAGUAAGUACCUAAGCGGAUAAAAGGAAUAGAUUGUAGAUCUAUUGAUUAAAAUUCUACAUCAGUUCGAAUCUGAUCUUACUUA